rnacentral:rRNA from 1 species
UAUCUCUGUAGAGUCUGCAUAUCAAUAAGCGGAGGAAAAGAAACUAACAAGGAUUCCCUUAGUAACGGCGAGUGAAGCGGGAAGAGCUCAAAUUUGAAAUCUUCAAGGUCCUACCUUGACGAAUUGUAGUUUAUAAGAAGUGUUUUCUGUUAGAUGAGUAGCAAAAGUUCCUUGGAAUAGGGACAUCAUAGAGGGUGAGAAUCCCGUAUUUGGUCAUUCCUCCUAGCUUUGUGAUACACUUUCAACGAGUCGGAUUGUUUGGGAAUGCAGUCCAAAAUGGGUGGUAAAUUUCAUCUAAAGCUAAAUAUUGGCGAGAGACCGAUAGCGAACAAGUACCGUGAGGGAAAGAUGAAAAGAACUUUGAAAAGAGAGUUAAACAGUACGUGAAAUUGUCAAAAGGGAAGCGUUUGACACCAGUGUUGUUUUUCCGAAAAUCAAUUACGAAUGGUUUGAUUUUGAUGUGUAUGACCUUCAUCAGCUUUCUCACUUUCUUUACGAAGUCUUUCUUAAUGCACUUUUCGGUUAACAAGUCAACAUCAAUUUCUUUUGUUGUAAAAGAGUAUUAGGAAGGUGGCUUUCUUUUCGGAGAAAGUGUUUAUAGCCUUAUGCCUCUACAAUCGGAGAGAUUGAGGUCUGCAGCGUAGAUCCUUCGGGGUUAGAUACACUUUGUGCUAAGUUAGUAGCUUUUCAUAGACAACUUGUUGACUAUGUUUAGUCAUUGUAGGCUUACUCGCUGACUGCUAUUUUACCUACGCUUAGGAUGUUGAACGCGCACAGAGUCUC